UACAGAGGGUGCGAGCGUUGUUCGGAAUUAUUGGGCGUAAAGGGCGCGUAGGCGGUGCGGUAAGUCACCUGUGAAAUCUCCUGGCUCAACUGGGAGCUUGCAGGCGAAACUGCCGUGCUGGAGUGUGGGAGAGGUGCGUGGAAUUCCUGGUGUAGCGGUGAAAUGCGUAGAUAUCAGGAGGAACACCCGUGGCGAAGGCGGCUCUCUGGAACGCAACUGACGCUGAGACGCGAAAGCGUGGGGAGCAAACAGG
rnacentral:rRNA from 1 species